CACGUAGGGGGCGAGCGUUGUCCGGAUUUAUUGGGCGUAAAGAGCUCGUAGGCGGCUCAGUUAGUCGGGUGUGAAACCCCCGGGCUCAACCCGGGGACGCCACCCGAUACUGCUGUGGCUAGAGUCCGGUAGGGGAGCGUGGAAUUCCUGGUGUAGCGGUGAAAUGCGCAGAUAUCAGGAGGAACACCAGCGGCGAAGGCGGCGCUCUGGGCCGGAACUGACGCUGAGGAGCGAAAGCGUGGGAGCGAACAGG
rnacentral:rRNA from 1 species